rnacentral:rRNA from 1 species
AACGAACGCUGGCGGCAUGCCUAACACAUGCAAGUCGAACGAGACCUUCGGGUCUAGUGGCGCACGGGUGCGUAACGCGUGGGAACCUGCCCUUAGGUUCGGAAUAACUCCCCGAAAGGGGUGCUAAUACCGGAUAAUGUCUUCGGACCAAAGAUUUAUCGCCUUUGGAUGGGCCCGCGUUGGAUUAGCUAGUUGGUAGGGUAAAAGCCUACCAAGGCGACGAUCCAUAGCUGGUCUGAGAGGAUGAUCAGCCACACUGGGACUGAGACACGGCCCAGACUCCGACGGGGGGCAGCAGUGGGGACUAUUGGACCAUGCGCGAAAGCCGUACCCAGGCAUGCCGCGUGUUUGAAGAAGGUCUUCGGAUUGUAAAGCACUUGAAGUUGGGAGGAAGGGCAGUAAGUUAAUACCGUGCUGUUUUGGCGUUACCAACAGAAUAAGCACCGGCUAACUUCGUG